rnacentral:rRNA from 1 species
UACGUAGGGAGCAAGCGUUAUCCGAAUUUAUUGGGUGUAAAGCGUGUGUAGGCGGUUUAUUAAGUCCAAGGUAUAAGCCCGAAGCUUAACUUCGGUUUGCCUUGGAAACUGAUUUACUUGAGUGUGGUAGAGGCAAGUGGAAUUUCUAGUGUAGCGGUAAAAUGCUUAGAUAUUAGAAGGAACACCAGUGGCGAAGGCGACUUGCUGGGCCAUUACUGACGCUGAGGCACGAAAGCGUGGGGAGCAAAUA